AGAGUUUGAUCAUGGCUCAGAACGAACGCUGGCGGCAGGCCUAACACAUGCAAGUCGAACGCUCGUAGCAAUACGAGAGUGGCAGACGGGUGAGUAACACGUGGGAACCUUCCCUAUGGUUCGGAAUAGCUCAGGGAAACUUGGGGUAAUACCGGAUAAGCCCUUCGGGGGAAAGAUUUAUCGCCAUUGGAUGGGCCCGCGUCGGAUUAGCUAGUUGGUGAGGUAACGGCUCACCAAGGCGACGAUCCGUAGCUGGUCUGAGAGGAUGAUCAGCCACACUGGGACUGAGACACGGCCCAGACUCCUACGGGAGGCAGCAGUGGGGAAUAUUGGACAAUGGGCGCAAGCCUGAUCCAGCCAUGCCGCGUGAGUGACGAAGGUCUUCGGAUUGUAAAGCUCUUUUGGCGGGGACGAUAAUGACGGUACCCGCAGAAUAGCCC
rnacentral:rRNA from 1 species